GAUGAACGCUGGCGGCGUGCCUAAUACAUGCAAGUCGAGCGAACAGACGAGGAGCUUGCUCCUCUGACGUUAGCGGCGGACGGGUGAGUAACACGUGGAUAACCUACCUAUAAGACUGGGAUAACUUCGGGAAACCGGAGCUAAUACCGGAUAAUAUAUUGAACCGCAUGGUUCAAUAGUGAAAGACGGUUUUGCUGUCACUUAUAGAUGGAUCCGCGCCGCAUUAGCUAGUUGGUAAGGUAACGGCUUACCAAGGCGACGAUGCGUAGCCGACCUGAGAGGGUGAUCGGCCACACUGGAACUGAGACACGGUCCAGACUCCUACGGGAGGCAGCAGUAGGGAAUCUUCCGCAAUGGGCGAAAGCUUGACGGAGCAACGCCGCGUGAGUGAUGAAGGUCUUCUGAUCGUAAAACUCUGUUAUUAGGGAAGAACAAAUGUGUAAGUAACUAUGCACGUCUUGACGGUACCUAAUCAGAAAGCCACGGCUAACUACGUG
rnacentral:rRNA from 1 species